rfam:Schistosoma margrebowiei strain Zambia genome assembly, scaffold: SMRZ_scaffold0004322
GCACUGCUGAUGAGUCCCACAAUAGGACAAAGCGGUCGUCCAGUAC